rnacentral:lncRNA from 1 species
AAAUAAUGAAUAAAAAUUAGGUGGUGAGAAUAUAAAUGAUGUAAACAGAACCGCGUUGUGUGAUUGUUUCAAAGAUAAAAGUGAAAAGCUCUGUAUCUGUUAUUGCCAACUGAGCUCUGCAUCUACGUUUUGAGAAAUCUACUUGAUCGAUCUGAGAUAAGGUAUGAUGCUUUUUCCAUUAUAUCGUAUGCUUUAUAUCUUUUGUAAUAUGCACAUAUAAACUGUUUUUUCUUAAAAAACUGCUAAAAUUUUAUUUUAAUUUUAUUUUUAUUAAAAUUAAACAUAUUCAAAUUUUGAAGAACAUUAUUCAUCAUCUUCAUCAAUUUCUUUGUAUCUUCAUCUUCUUCCUUAAAAAAAAAUUCAACACACCUCUAUUACAUGCAUUAAAAAUGCUGUUAAAAUAAAAUACAUUAAAAAUAAUGAAAAGAAAAGAGAGAUUAGGUGAGGGGGGAGCAAAUAAAACCGUUGACCAAAUCAUAAAAGGUGUAAACAGAACUGUGUUGCAUGUGUGUGUGAUUGAUGCGAGUCAAUCUAUUUAAUCCGUGAGCUAAUUUGCAGAAGGAUUAAAUCGUGUAAGAAUUUGUUUGGUAAAAAAUAGCGGAUAACUGGUAAAUUAGUUUACAGCGAUUGAACUUAUAGUGGAUAGCAUAUAAGUUAGCUUUUAGUUUAUAGCGAAUAAACUAGCUGAUAUAAUUUGUAGUGUUUGGUAAAAUUAGCGGUUGUAUUAACUUAUAAGUAUGAAAUGACAUAAAAAAAAAUAUUUAAUUAAUAUUUAGUUUUUUUAAGUAAGAUGAUAGGGUAAAAUUGAAAGAAAAAAUGAUAAGUUAUAAGCUCAUAAGCUACUUGAAAUAGCAUUUGAAAAAUAAGCUAUAAGUCAGUAAAAUAAGUUAUAAGUUCAUGGUGAUAUGAAAGUUAAUCAGUUACUGUAUUAAACACGUCUUUUAACUUAUAAGCUUUAAGACAUAACCUAUAAGGUAACUUAUUGUACUUCCCAAACAUAAAUCUACUUGCAUAGCUAUUUAAUGUUAAUAUUUUAAGGGUAUUUUGCAUCUAAAUCUAAAUCGUAAAGUAUAAACAAACAACAAAUCAUAGAAUUUUUUUUUCCUACCCAAACAUUUAACCCUUUACCCCUCCCUACAAGCAAACCAAUAUUUCCAUUUUACCCUUUUUAAAAAAUUAAAAAAAUAGAUUUUUAACAUUUAACCGUGGCUAAUUAACCUAGGGAAACAUUCCCAUUUUACCCCAAUUUUUCCGGUUUACACUUGUUACCGGAAAACAUAGGGAAGUUGUUCCGAAAAAUGUUCAGGUUAGGCACAAUUUGCAUUGCCUAAAUCAUAAGAAAUCAAAGUAUCCUGGUCCUCUUCUAUUCCUUAUAAAUUUAUAGAGACAUCAUUUUUUUAUUAACCAUUAACAAUAUUAUGGCAAAUCAUUGAUUCAUCUGGUACAUAAAAUAUAUGAUUCAUCGACAAGUUUACUAGAUCGAUAAUUUUCAUUUUUGAUGUUCAAAAAUUACAAUGUCUCAUUCAGUAAAGAUUUAUGAUACAUGUAUAGGAUGUACUCAAUGUGUCCGAGCCUGUCCCACAGAUGUAUUAGAAAUGAUACCUUGGAAUGGAUGUCACGGUUAAACCGUGGCUAAAUGUUCAAAAUCCAUUUUUAAAUUUUUUUGAAAGGGGUAAAAUAAGAAUAUUGGUUUGUUUGUAUGAGUAAAGAGUUAAAUGUUGGGGUAGAAUUUUUUUUCUUUCCCGAAUAGGAUAUAAUAAAUGAUGUAAACAGAACCGUGUUGUGUGAUUGUGUCAAAGGUUAGAGUGAAAAGCUCAAGUAUCCUUCGCUGCAUCUGUUAUUGCCAACUGAGCUCGGCUGGCGGUGGCGGUGCUUCUACGUUUUUAUUUUAUUUUGUAUAGUUUCAUAAUUUAUAAUAACAUUUAACAUUAUAUGUUAACGACGCGAGUACAAAAUUAUAAUGAAGUAUAUCCAUUAAAAAUUUAAUUAUAUUACAAUGUAGUUUUGUUAAAUGAGUGAAAUGUAAAUUUUCAUAUAAGAGGGGAUGGAAAUGAAAUUCAAGCUUCUUUUAAAAGAGGAGAAUUUUCUCAUAAAACAAUUGUAUAUUGGUAAGUUGUAGAUAUGUGGAAGGGGCAAAAUUGUUUAUUCUAAACAUAAGCAGAGUGGAAAGCUACACUGAG